rnacentral:rRNA from 1 species
CUGGCUCAGAACGAACGCUGGCGGCAGGCCUAACACAUGCAAGUCGAGCGCGCCCUUCGGGGUGAGCGGCGGACGGGUUAGUAACGCGUGGGAACGUACCCUUUGGUAGGGAAUAGCCACUGGAAACGGUGAGUAAUACCCUAUGAGCCCCUUCGGGGGAAAGAUUUUAUCGCCAAAGGAUCGGCCCGCGUUAGAUUAGGUAGUUGGUGGGGUAAUGGCCUACCAAGCCUACGAUCUAUAGCUGGUUUUAGAGGAUGAUCAGCAACACUGGGACUGAGACACGGCCCAGACUCCUACGGGAGGCAGCAGUGGGGAAUCUUGGACAAUGGGGGCAACCCUGAAUCCAGCCAUGCCGCGUGAGUGAAGAAGGCCUUAGGGUCGUAAAGCUCUUUCGCCUGUGAAGAUAAUGACGGUAGCAGGUAAAGAAACCCCGGCUAACUCCGUGCCAGCAGCGGC